rnacentral:hammerhead_ribozyme from 1 species
AUCCAACUGACGAGUCCUAAAUACGACGAAAUGAGAGUUCUGGAU